UCUUUCUUAUAGUCUCGCGUAGCCAGACCCAUCCCCCUUUUUGACAUUUGGACGGCGGGGGAAGGGUCUGGUAGACUGACCUACAUGAACUUGUUCCAGGCAGAUCAAAGGAGCGACCGUCGGCUUGGUCAGUGUGAGUGACGUCAGGCAAUAAAGACUAAUUAAAGAGGUAUAAUUAGAAAAGACGGGCGUGGCUACACAAGAUGGCUGACAGUCUUCCUUUAGCAGUGAAGAGUUUUCCACCCAUUUUGGUAUUAUUCGAAAGAAAAAAGGCUCCCAAAAGCUACUGUUCACUUGCAUCUGGACUGUCACUCUACCAGACUGGAUUAUGGCAACCCUAACACAUGCUUUUGGGUAGGAAGGUAGCAUUGUUGUGUGUGAUCUAAUGGGAGUAAUAAAGAUUUUACCAACCACAAAAGCCAAUGGAAUCGAAGUAAAGAUGACAGAGUAUCCUACAAAAUGUCAUUGGAAGAAGUUGCAUGCAGCACUGAGUCUUGAAGACUAUUUUGAUACUUGUUGUGACGUCUGUUGUACAUUGUAAUUGAUAUUUUUUGAUUGCAUGUAUAUGAUUUAGUGUGCUUUGCAUGUCAGUACUAAUAA